rnacentral:lncRNA from 1 species
GCAGAAUUUGAAUGACUCUUAAACAAAAUCAGGGACAAGACCGUUGUUAGUGAUCAUUACCCUCACUAUCUUAUUGAAUUUAGGAGCUAAACACACUUAAUCUCACUUUUCCCACCUCUUCAGCAAUUUUAGCAGAAUUUCACUAACUGCCUGUGUGCGUGCGCGCGCGCCAGCGCGUGCGCGGGUAGCUAACUGAAACAACAAAAAGAGAGAUCCUGGGUGAGAAGUCAGAUACAUAUGGGACAGGUCAGCUCCUAGAAGAUCCAUCAGUAGAUGCCAGGAGAAAAGAAGUGCAAGAGCCACCUCAAAGUUCUCUGAGUUCAGUGGGAGUGAAACGCAAACGAAGUCACAUGGGAUCUAGUCCCCUGACCAGGGAUCAGACCCGCACCCCCUGCAUUGGAAGGCGGAGUCAACUCCUGGGCCACCUCGGAAGUCCUGGGAAGGAAAGCCAGCUCACACGGAAGCGUCCGCGCGAGGGCCACGCAAAGCAGCACGGGACGGAAGCGGGCAUCUCUGAGGACGCGGCGUCUCAAGGUUCCCACUGUCAAGACGGUCCGGGAGGAAAUGGCCUCGCUAGCCGCACUCCCAAAGUUGGCCCUCAAAUAUGAGAAUCCAAAUAUGACUUUAUUGUACAGAUGGGAGCAGGUGACGAGCAAAGAGGUGCUGUUGUAUUCUUGCCACGAAAAAGAAGAUUCAUCCUUCUCCUUUUGCUUAUAUAUUCAGCAGACCUUACAGCUCAAUAAAAAUGAGAUGUUUAAAUAUUUAAUAAACAUGCGUAGAGCUAAUGUAUUGCUAAAACUGAUGGAGUAGCCUGGCAGAUUCUCACGGAAACAUAAAGUAGCCUAUAUACAAAUGGAGCCGUUCAG